CCACUGUACCAAACUGCUACCGAACCGUGAUGUCUGAACCGAGGUAUGAACCGAACCGUGACUUCUGUGUACCGCUCCACCCCUACUAGCAACUGAGG